UUUUUUUUUUAUAAAUUUUUUUGUGGGUCAAGUUGCAUCUGAACCAACAUGCUAAUUUGAUUACAGAGGAUUAAUCCACAUGAGCCAUAUUGUACCAUUUACAAUGAAAUAACCAGUCAGACAACUAACAUGAAGUUGAAGGGUUCAGAGCCUGUUGUUGUUGAUUAUGUUGCUGUCGAUGUGAAAAAUAAAACGCAUCUGCAGAAGGUGAGUAGUUCCAGGAUAUGUUUGACUUUACCUGUUGUUGUUGAUUAUGUUGCUGUCGACGUGAAAAAUAAAACGCAUCUGCAGAAGGUGAGUAGUUCCAGGAUAUGUUCGAUUUUGAGAAAAGAUGUGUGCUGUUACUUUUCUGGGUUUCGGAUCCGCUUUGCUAGUGCUUCCGUGCUCUUAAUUUUCUACUUUUUCCAUCUCCAUAAAAUGAGAGGUUUAUUAGAAUAUAUAAGCUGGUAUCAUUCUUUUAUCUUUUGCUUUCUAGUUCCGAUAUAUACAUCGGCCAACUGAACGUUUUCUAUAUGAUGCUUUAUUAUCAU
rnacentral:lncRNA from 1 species